rnacentral:rRNA from 1 species
UACGAAGGGGGCUAGCGUUGCUCGGAAUCACUGGGCGUAAAGCGCACGUAGGCGGCUUCUUAAGUCAGAGGUGAAAUCCUGGAGCUCAACUCCAGAACUGCCUUUGAUACUGGUAGUCUCGAGUCCGGAAGAGGUGAGUGGAAUUCCGAGUGUAGAGGUGAAAUUCGUAGAUAUUCGGAGGAACACCAGUGGCGAAGGCGGCUCACUGGUCCGGUACUGACGCUGAGGUGCGAAAGCGUGGGGAGCAAACAGG